GCCAGACUCCUACGGGAGGCAGCAGUGGGGAAUAUUGGGCAAUGGGCGAAAGCCUGACCCAGCAACGCCGCGUGAAGGAAGAAGGCUUUCGGGUUGUAAACUUCUUUUGACAGGGAAGAGCAGAAGACGGUACCUGUCGAAUAAGCCACGGCUAACUACGUGCCAGCAGCCGCGGUAAUACGUAGGGGGCAAGCGUUAUCCGGAUUUACUGGGUGUAAAGGGAGCGUAGACGGCCAGACAAGUCUGAAGUGAAAAUCCAGCGCUUAACGUUGGAAGUGCUUUGGAAACUGCCGGGCUAGAGUGCAGGAGGGGCAGGCGGAAUUCCUAGUGUAGCGGUGAAAUGCGUAGAUAUUAGGAGGAACACCAGUGGCGAAGGCGGCCUGCUGGACUGCAACUGACGUUGAGGCUCGAAGGCGUGGGGAGCAAACAGGAUUAGAUACCCUAGUA
rnacentral:rRNA from 1 species